UAAUGCAGUCGAGCGAAUGGAUUAAGAGCUUGCUCUUAUGAAGUUAGCGGCGGACGGGUGAGUAACACGUGGGUAACCUGCCCAUAAGACUGGGAUAACUCCGGGAAACCGGGGCUAAUACCGGAUAAUAUUUUGAACUGCAUGGUUCGAAAUUGAAAGGCGGCUUCGGCUGUCACUUAUGGAUGGACCCGCGUCGCAUUAGCUAGUUGGUGAGGUAACGGCUCACCAAGGCAACGAUGCGUAGCCGACCUGAGAGGGUGAUCGGCCACACUGGGACUGAGACACGGCCCAGACUCCUACGGGAGGCAGCAGUAGGGAAUCUUCCGCAAUGGACGAAAGUCUGACGGAGCAACGCCGCGUGAGUGAUGAAGGCUUUCGGGUCGUAAAACUCUGUUGUUAGGGAAGAACAAGUGCUAGUUGAAUAAGCUGGCACCUUGACGGUACCUAACCAGAAAGCCACGGCUAACUACGUGCCAGCAGCCGCGGUAAUACGUAGGUGGCAAGCGUUAUCCGGAAUUAUUGGGCGUAAAGCGCGCGCAGGUGGUUUCUUAAGUCUGAUGUGAAAGCCCACGGCUCAACCGUGGAGGGUCAUUGGAAACUGGGAGACUUG
rnacentral:rRNA from 1 species